rnacentral:rRNA from 1 species
CGGGACACGUGGUAUCCUGUCUGAAUAUGGGGGGACCAUCCUCCAAGGCUAAAUACUCCUGACUGACCGAUAGUGAACCAGUACCGUGAGGGAAAGGCGAAAAGAACCCCGGCGAGGGGAGUGAAAAAGAACCUGAAACCGUGUACGUACAAGCAGUGGGAGCACGCUUAGGCGUGUGACUGCGUACCUUUUGUAUAAUGGGUCAGCGACUUAUAUUCUGUAGCAAGGUUAACCGAAUAGGGGAGCCGAAGGGAAACCGAGUCUUAACUGGGCGUUAAGUUGCAGGGUAUAGACCCGAAACCCGGUGAUCUAGCCAUGGGCAGGUUGAAGGUUGGGUAACACUAACUGGAGGACCGAACCGACUAAUGUUGAAAAAUUAGCGGAUGACUUGUGGCUGGGGGUGAAAGGCCAAUCAAACCGGGAGAUAGCUGGUUCUCCCCGAAAGCUAUUUAGGUAGCGCCUCGUGAAUUCAUCUCCGGGGGUAGAGCACUGUUUCGGCAAGGGGGUCAUCCCGACUUACCAACCCGAUGCAAACUGCGAAUACCGGAGAAUGUUAUCACGGGAGACACACGGCGGGUGCUAACGUCCGUCGUGAAGAGGGAAACAACCCAGACCGCCAGCUAAGGUCCCAAAGUCAUGGUUAAGUGGGAAACGAUGUGGGAAGGCCCAGACAGCCAGGAUGUUGGCUUAGAAGCAGCCAUCAUUUAAAGAAAGCGUAAUAGCUCACUGGUCGAGUCGGCCUGCGCGGAAGAUGUAACGGGGCUAAACCAUGCACCGAAGCUGCGGCAGCGACGCUGAUGCGUUGUUGGGUAGGGGAGCGUUCUGUAAGCCUGUGAAGGUGUGCUGUGAGGCAUGCUGGAGGUAUCAGAAGUGCGAAUGCUGACAUAAGUAACGAUAAAGCGGGUGAAAAGCCCGCUCGCCGGAAGACCAAGGGUUCCUGUCCAACGUUAAUCGGGGCAGGGUGAGUCGACCCCUAAGGCGAGGCCGAAAGGCGUAGUCGAUGGGAAACAGGUUAAUAUUCCUGUACUUGGUGUUACUGCGAAGGGGGGACGGAGAAGGCUAUGUUGGCCGGGCGACGGUUGUCCCGGUUUAAGCGUGUAGGCUGGUUUUCCAGGCAAAUCCGGAAAAUCAAGGCUGAGGCGUGAUGACGAGGCACUACGGUGCUGAAGCAACA